GAUGAACGCUAGCUACAGGCUUAACACAUGCAAGUCGAGGGGUAACGAGAGGAAAGCUUGCUUUCCUUGUUGACGACCGGCGCACGGGUGAGUAACGCGUAUCCAACCUGCCCCCAACUAGGGAAUAACCUUGCGAAAGUAAGACUAAUACCCUAUAAUUUCCUCAGAUGUCAUCUGACGAGGAAUAAAGAUUUAUCGGUUGUGGAUGGGGAUGCGUCUGAUUAGCUUGUUGGCGGGGUAACGGCCCACCAAGGCAACGAUCAGUAGGGUUUCUGAGAGGAAGGUCCCCCACAUUGGAACUGAGACACGGUCCAAACUCCUACGGGAGGCAGCAGUGAGGAAUAUUGGUCAAUGGGCGGAAGCCUGAACCAGCCAAGUAGCGUGCAGGAUGACGGCCCUAUGGGUUGUAAACUGCUCUUAUACAGGAAUAAAGUUAGCCACGUGUGGUUAUUUGUAGGUACUGUAUGAAUAAGGACCGGCUAAUUCCGUGCCAGCCGCCGCGGUAA
rnacentral:rRNA from 1 species